CGACUGCCUCCUCAGCCCAGAGUUUCAUGGGCUGGUACGAAGCCCAUCCAGGAUAAAGAGGGCUACUACACCGCGGGCCCGCUUCCGCGUCCGGCUGCGCUACGAGCCUACGGCUUCCGCAGCUCGCUUCCGCUGUGCUGUCCUCUGUGCUAUCCACUAGGGUUCAUCUGCUCGAGGAAUGGCAUCGCUGGUUCGCUGCAGGUCUCUGGCGCGGGGGUCGGUGCCGCAGCCUUCGCUGCGAAGGGGAAGGCCUCCAUCGGUGCGCACUUGCUUCUCUCGACGGUGACCGUCGGCGAGGUCCAGCCUCGUCGCCAGGGCCGCCACCGUCGUUGCCCCCAAGGCGACCUUUCCGGCAGAGAAUCAACGCUCGCUGGUUUGCUAAACUCAUUGUCUGUCAGAGAUGGGACGUCCGGAAGGGGUCACGAUCGGAUGACAACACACGUCGAGAAGAUGACAACGACGAGCAGCGUCAGGAACGGGACAUCAGAGUAGAUUGGUUCAAGUGAUGUUGGAAAGAAUGGGAUCAGAUAGAUAGAUGUAAGACUGGAAUGAGAAGAAGGAUGACAAUUAGGAGAAUUGAACUGAUCCAACUAAGAGACCUAGGAUAGAACUAGUUUGAUCUAUCUAAAACAUUUUUUUUCUAUACUUACAUAUAAGAGAUACUAAAAAUUGAGGGGGGGCCACGGCCCCCUUUGCCCCCCACGUGGAUCCGCCACUGUUGCCGAGGAAGAAGACUGACGAGGCGAAGUCACUGAUUAGAGUGUUGGUGGCCCUUGGCUUUGAUUGUGAUCAAAUAGAGGCAAAUGGUUGAGGUUUGGAGAUGCUGGUUUGUUAGGUUAUGGUUAGCUUCUUAAACUUCCAACCUCUGGUGUAUGUGUGAUGUGAACUGAAUCACAAUAAUGUCUGGUUGUGGUUUCAUUAAUGCUUACAUGUGGUGAAUUGGACCUGACUCCAUGGUCUGUGACUCUGUGUUGCAGUGAAGUCUGCUAUGGAGAACAUUUGUAAAUGUGGGGUCAAUCAGUAUGUUCAAAAAGUCUGUAAAGAAAUUAUGUUUAAUCUGUAACUGGUUACCAUUUUAGUUCAAUACAAUAUUAUAAUCCCCAUGUGUAGUACUUAA